CAGUCGCCGCGGUAAUACGAAGGGGGCUAGCGUUGUUCGGAAUUACUGGGCGUAAAGCGCACGUAGGCGGACAUUUAAGUCAGGGGUGAAAUCCCGGGGCUCAACCCCGGAACUGCCUUUGAUACUGGGUGUCUAGAGUAUGGAAGAGGUGAGUGGAAUUCCGAGUGUAGAGGUGAAAUUCGUAGAUAUUCGGAGGAACACCAGUGGCGAAGGCGGCUCACUGGUCCAUUACUGACGCUGAGGUGCGAAAGCGUGGGGAGCAAACAGGAUUAGAUACCCGUGUAGUCCCUGUCUCUUAUAC
rnacentral:rRNA from 1 species